rnacentral:rRNA from 1 species
UACGGAGGGUGCGAGCGUUGUCCGGAAUCACUGGGCGUAAAGGGCGCGUAGGUGGCGACCCAAGUCAACGGUGAAAGCUCGACGCUCAACGUCGAGUCGGCCGUCGAUACUGGGUUGCUGGAGCACUGUAGAGGCUCAUGGAAUUCCGGGUGUAGCGGUGGAAUGCGUAGAGAUCCGGAAGAACACCGGUGGCGAAGGCGGUGAGCUGGGCAGUUGCUGACACUGAGGCGCGACAGCGUGGGGAGCAAACAGG